CCUAGGCUAUAUUAACAAAGGGAUAGAAUCAAGAUCCUGUGAAGUGUUAGUAUCAGUGGUGGGUUGCUCACAGUUCGGUAGUAGAAGCAGCAGGAGGCUCCCCCCACCCACCUGGACAUCUUCAGGUAUGAUCUGCACAUGCACAGAAGCUUCUGCACAUGCGCAAAAGUGCACAUGCACUCCCGUUGUGAAUUGGUAGUAAAGUCCCUUCUAGAGUUUCCAGAGACGCAACACUGUUGUUCAAGAGAGGAGUUACAUUAGCCUUCAAUGCUGUAGGAGGGUUCCUGUGUGAGCAAGGCAUCAAUGAACAUAGUGAUAAAUACUGCAUUUGGGCCAUUCAAACGGUGAAUCUAUUGUGGACCUAAGCAUGGAAAAUGAAAAAUGUGGCUUCCAUUUUCAGAAUGAUGUUCAGAUGUCAGUCAUGAGACAAUUGUAACCCUGAAGCUUAUAAAGUAAAAGGCAAGCAAUCAUGGCCUCCAAGAGAUGGAGAAAGAAGAAAGCAAUUUUGGUACAGUUAGAGGAAUCCUGAUUCCACAUUUUGGGGACUACAAUAUUCAAUAAUCUAUCAAUCUAUCAAUCUGUCUGUCAUCCAUCCAUCCAUCCAUCCAUCCAUCCAUCCAUCCAUCCAUCCAUCCAUUUAUUCAAAUGCCACCCAUCUCACUAUCAAGCGACUCCGGCACUUUGCCCUCUGAAUUAGCUGAAAUUGAGGACCUGUAGUCUAAAAUUUAUGGCGCUCUCCAGGUUACCAAGCACCAGUUUGCCAAGCUGUGGCUUUGAUCAGCUGCAGGUAGCAAACUAUAGUCAGAUAGCUUAACAGAGUGGCUGCCGGGAAAACAACUGAGUAGCCCAAAGGCAUUGGUUCUCUAUUCAGUAUUGAUUCUGUAGUCAUAUAAAAUACUGGGAGUUUAUACUGUAAUUAGAAAUCCCUGGUUACAUCACUGAAUUCCAGGUUAAAGUUUCCCAUGGGCGGAAACAACUUAAUAUGCUUUGAAUAUAAUUGGCAUCACUUGCAUUACAUAGGCUCAAUAAAAAAUAUAUGUUUUGGGAAUCCAUCACAACAUCUCUGUGACAUUUGCUUUUGAGCAAAGAGCCCAUCUCAGCAGAAAGGACUUGCAGAGAUGGGUCUCCAGAUUCUCAUCUAAUUGUUUAUAUGAACAAACACUACUCUGAUAGAAAACCUGGAAGUGAAUCCUGGAAUAAACUUUCUCCACAUAAAAUAUUCAAGGAAUUUCAGGAAAAUGUCAAAGUUUUUUGGUUCAGUGGUUUGAUUUUGGGACCUUAUCAGUGCAUUUGCUUUGGCCUUCUUUAAGGUCACAUCAGUACAUUUUGUUAGAAGGGACAUUCAGUUGGUUAGAAAAGUUUUUAUCAGUAAAACAUUUGGUAGAAAGCUAGUGCAGUUCUGAUGUUGGAACCAUACAGAAGGAAGGAAGGAAGGAAGGAAGGAAGGAAGGAAGGAAGGAAGGAAGGAAGGAAGGAAGGAAGGAAGGAAGGCUCUUGUUUGUAGUUUUAAUGUUUGUACUUUUUAAUGCAAAAUUGUCUUGACAAUCAACUCCUGAGCUGAAUGGAUUUUACUUCCAAGAAAUUGUAAACAAAACUGCAGAACAAUUGGACACUUCUGAGUAAAUGUACAUAUGAGUACAGUCUGACUUACUAGAUUGCUGAAAGUUUUCUUUUCUUUUAAAACAUUUCUUAAUGUGAAACGCAAUAUCUUUUGAUUUGAUUGCAUUUGAUUUUCAGAUACUGUCACCAACUGGAUUUUGAGAUGGGUGGGAAUAAAUGUAUUGGAAAAUGUUAAUAUGAUUCUAUCUAUAAUACUAGUUAUUUUUCCAAUCACAGGUAAAAAUAAAGGAUUCUGUGUCAAACAUCUAUCCACUUUAUUGGUCUGUGGGAAAACAACGACUAUCUAGGGGAAGAAAAAUAAUAAUAAUAAAAAUCCAUAGCAAAAUCUGCCUGUCCUUUUCAUUAGAUAUAGUUCAAAUUGUCUACAGGGUGUUUUUUAUCCUCAUUUUGCUUGUUUUUCUCCUCCUAGAGAAUACCCCAUAUCCAGCAACGUUCACCCAGAGUGUGCAAGAAUGCUGAGUUGUCG